rnacentral:rRNA from 1 species
AGCGAACGCUGGCGGCAGGCUUAACACAUGCAAGUCGAACGCCCCGCAAGGGGAGUGGCAGACGGGUGAGUAACACGUGGGAACGUACCCUUUGGUUCGGAAUAACGUGGGGAAACUCAAGCUAAUACCAGAUAAGCCCUUAUGGGGAAAGGUUUACUGCCGAAGGAUCGGCCCGCGUCUGAUUAGCUAGUUGGUGAGGUAAUGGCUCACCAAGGCGACGAGCAGUAGCUGGUCUGAGAGGAUGAUCAGCCACACUGGGACUGAGACACGGCCCAGACUCCUACGGGAGGCAGCAGUGGGGAAUAUUGGACAAUGGGGGCAACCUUGAUCCAGCCAUGCCGCGUGAGUGAUGAAGGCCUUAGGGUUGUAAAGCUCUUUUACCCGGGACGAUAAUGACUGUACCGGGAGAAUAAGCCCCGGCUAACUUCGUGCCAGCCGCCGCCGUAA